ACGGUGAAGCGCUGUCUUUUUGGUGGUGUGGAUUAGUGGCGAACGGGUGAGUAAUACGCGGGCAACCUGCCCCUCUGCUUCGGGAUAAGCUUUGGAAACGGGGUCUAAUACCGGAUGUGCCUGUCUGGUCGCAUGGCUGGGCGGGGAAAGAUGUUUUUCGGCGGGGGAUGGGCUCGCGGCCUAUCAGCUUGUUGGUGGGGUGACGGCCUACCAAGGCGUCGACGGGUAGCCGGCCUGAGAGGGUGGUCGGCCACACUAGGACUGAGAUACGGCCCAGACUCCUACGGGAGGCAGCAGUGGGGGAUAUUGCACAAUGGGCGCAAGCCUGAUGCAGCGACGCCGCGUGGGGGAUGGAGGCUUUCGGGUUGUAAACCCCUUUCGGCGCGGGACAAGGCUCCGUUUGGCGGGGUUGAGGGUACGCGUCAAAGAAGCGCCGGCUAACUACGUGCCAGCAGCCGCGGUAAUACGUAGGGCGCGAGCGUUGUCCGGAAUUAUUGGGCGUAAAGGGCUCGUAGGCGGCUUGUCGCGUCUGCUGUGAAAACGCGGGGCUCAACUCCGCGCGUGCAGUGGGUACGGGCAGGCUGGAGUGCGGCAGGGGUGGCUGGAAUUCCUGGUGUAGCGGUGGAAUGCGCAGAUAUCAGGAAGAACACCGAUGGCGAAGGCAGGCCACUGGGCCGUCACUGACGCUGAGGAGCGAAAGCGUGGGGAGCGAACAGG
rnacentral:rRNA from 1 species